rnacentral:lncRNA from 1 species
AACCAUGAUCUUUGCACAUGCACAAGAUAAAAUCUUCUAUUUUAUCUCUCUUUUGUCCAAUAGUAAUAGGGUGUGGGUUGUAUAAAAUUGUAACCUUAAACAAUCAAAUUAAGGCAGACCUCCAAAUUUUAUCAUAAAUAUAAUUUCAGUGUAAAUUUUUUUUAGGAUGGCGUGAAAAUCUGUUUUAAACUCUAAAAUGGUUCACAUUAAGUAGUUCUAUAAAUGUAUGAAAAUUUUGAAAAUGGAC